CUCCCCUCCGUCACUAAGCACUUGAGCACCAUAAGCAAAAGGGGGACUACUGUACCCGCGCCACGCCGCCAAUCUCAAAACAUUCGACAUCAUCACGCCACUUAGAGUCCAAGUAAAUGACUGACCGUAGAAAAAGACCCGAAAAAAAACGCCUGACUCAGAGAAUCGCUCAGAAAAUUUCCAAAACGUCCCCAGACAAGGCGCGUGCCAAGGCUUGAAGGGGAGUCGCGUGUUCGAGUGACCCGAAUUUCGGAAUAGAUUAAUGCUACUCAAAGAUGAUAAUACUUCCACAGAUCAGGUCUUGUCAUGCUGCAUGUUUAGUAUUCUUGUUUUUUUUUUUUUGCAUUCCCCACAAAUUUUCCAUGCGGCGAAGCGUGCGUCGCGAUCUUAUCAGGU
rnacentral:lncRNA from 1 species